rnacentral:rRNA from 1 species
GACACACGGCGGGUGCUAACGUCCGUCGUGAAGAGGGAAACAACCCAGACCGCCAGCUAAGGUCCCAAAGUCAUGGUUAAGUGGGAAACGAUGUGGGAAGGCCCAGACAGCCAGGAUGUUGGCUUAGAAGCAGCCAUCAUUUAAAGAAAGCGUAAUAGCUCACUGGUCGAGUCGGCCUGCGCGGAAGAUGUAACGGGGCUAAACCAUGCACCGAAGCUGCGGCAGCGACACUCAGGUGUUGUUGGGUAGGGGAGCGUUCUGUAAGCCUG